AUUAAGUUUAUUUUUUAGUUUUUAAAUAUAAUGUUUUGACUAUUUGUCUUAUUUAAAAUUUUUUUGCGAUUAAUAUUUUUAUUGUUACUAGAUGGUAAACAUAAAUAAUACUUUAUACGUGACUAAUUUUUCUAAGUAUUUAAUAAAUUUUUAAAAUAAGACGAGUAGUUAGACGGUUGGACAUAGUCACAUACA
rnacentral:pre_miRNA from 1 species